AUGUGCGCUUGCGGCGUGCCUAAUACAUGCAAGUCGCGCGAACAGACGAGGAGCUUGCUCCUAUGACGUUAGCGGCGGACGGGUGAGUAACACGUGGAUAACCUACCUAUAAGACUGGGAUAACUUCGGGAAACCGGAGCUAAUACCGGAUAAUAUAUUGAACCGCAUGGCUCAAUAGUGAAAGACGGAUUUGCUGUCAAUUAUAGAUGGAUCCGCGCCGCAUUAGCUAGUUGGUAAGGUAACGGCUUACCAAGGCAACGAUGCGAAGCCGACCUGAGCGGGUGAUCGGCCACACUGGAACUGAGACACGGUCCAGACUCCUACGGGAGGCAGCAGUAGGGAAUCUUCCGCAAUGGGCGAAAGCCUGACGGAGCAACGCCGCGUGAGUGAUGAGGGUCUUCGGAUCGUAAAACUCUGUUAUUAGGGAAGAACAAAUGUGUAAGUAACUAUGCGCGUCUUGACGGUACCUAAUCAGAAAGCCACGGCUAACUACGUG
rnacentral:rRNA from 1 species